UACGGGGGGGGGUAAGCGUUGUUCGGAAUUACUGGGCGUAAAGCGUGCGUAGACGGUCAAGUAAGUCGGGUGUGAAAGCCCCGGCUCAACCUGGGAAUUGCAUUCGAGACUGCGUGGCUAGGGUGCGGAAGAGGGAAGCGGAAUUUCCGGUGUAGCGGUGAAAUGCGUAGAUAUCGGAAGGAACACCAGUGGCGAAAGCGGCUUCCUGGUCCAGCACCGACGUUCAGGCACGAAAGCGUGGGGAGCAAACAGG
rnacentral:rRNA from 1 species